rnacentral:rRNA from 1 species
UACGGGGGGGGCAAGCGUUGUUCGGAAUUACUGGGCGUAAAGGGCUCGUAGGCGGCCAACUAAGUCAUACGUGAAAUCCCUCGGCUUAACCGGGGAACUGCGUCUGAUACUGGAUGGCUUGAGUUCGGGAGAGGGAUGCGGAAUUCCAGGUGGUAGCGGUGAAAUGCGUAGAUAUCUGGAGGAACACCGGUGGCGAAGGCGGCACCUGGACCGA